CCUCCUUAUCCCAAUGCCCGUCGCGUUUUGCAGUGCGGCAGCACCCUCUUCUGUCAAUCCCUAUGUGGUCGAAGCCGCCGGUGCUUGCAAUGUCAGGCAGCAGCACCAAGAGCUAUGCCACAGAAUCCUCAGCACUUUGCAAACGAGGAAAUGAAAACAAAGGAAGGGAGAAAUUAAAAAGCCCGGCAGAAAGGAUAAAACUGGGGACAUCUGAUCUGGAACGCUACCAUUACGGUGCUCUCGUGACAUUCGUACUGCAGUACUGACUUGGGAGGCUGCCCUACUUCAGUGGCAUCGGUAGUGAUCUGUGUCCUCAGCUGCACCUUUCCAACGUGAUCACCCCUUUCUGGUUCCAAGCAUCAAUCAAUCUCUCAUCCUGCUGAAUCCACCUCAGCUUGGCAACUUCCUGUCACAGCCUGGUCAGCUGCUCCAAAAGAUGACCAAGUUGGGCACACACCUGCACCCACAACACCCCUCACCUACCUCAGGCCCUUGGGUGACCUCCAGAUUCCAGAGGCUGAAUGGCAAGAAUGUGCUUGAAGGUGUAGCACAGGAACUGCAAGUCAGCUGGAUGCAGAAGGACCAUUAGCUCUCAAGACUGCUUUAAGGUCAGUUUCAGGGCUUCAGUUCUCCCUGGUCAUGCUGUCACUCAUGGUAAAGAUCAGAUUUAUGACCUUUGUCCAUUGCUUUAAGGCCACAGAAGUGCACAGGCAUGACUCUACUCCGAUUAUGUUUUUUUUUUUCUUGGCUCCAAAAUACUGUGUUUUUCACUGUUUUUCUCCCACCUCUCCUGUGCUGACUGGCAGGUGGCUGCCACGCUUACCAUGUUCUGCUAUUGUUACAGACCCUAUGUGAUCACACUCAAAGUAUUUCAUAGUUUUCAUUGCCUCCCCCGCGACAGAACAGGAGGUCAUUAUUUGGAGGACUGAGGACAGUCAGGAUCCUGCCCGCUCCCUGACCUUUCAGAUAACUGGUUAUUCAUGCAAAUAUUGCAGAAAUGCUGUUCUGGAGAGGACAAAACAUUCUUACUGGAAUAUCG
ensembl:lncRNA